rnacentral:rRNA from 1 species
UACGAAGGGGGGCUAGCGUUGCUCGGAAUCACUGGGCGUAAAGGGUGCGUAGGCGGGUCUUUAAGUCAGGGGUGAAAUCCUGGAGCUCAACUCCAGAACUGCCUUUGAUACUGAAGAUCUUGAGUUCGGGAGAGGUGAGUGGAACUGCGAGUGUAGAGGUGAAAUUCGUAGAUAUUCGCAAGAACACCAGUGGCGAAGGCGGCUCACUGGCCCGGUACUGACGCUGAGGUGCGAAAGCGUGGGGAGCAAACAGG